AGAUUGAACGCUGGCGGCAUGCUUUACACAUGCAAGUCGAACGGUAACAGGCCGCAAGGUGCUGACGAGUGGCGAACGGGUGAGUAAUGUAUCGGAACGUGCCCAGUCGUGGGGGAUAACGCAGCGAAAGCUGCGCUAAUACCGCAUACGAUCUAUGGAUGAAAGCGGGGGACCGUAAGGCCUCGCGCGAUUGGAGCGGCCGAUAUCAGAUUAGGUAGUUGGUGGGGUAAAGGCUCACCAAGCCAACGAUCUGUAGCUGGUUUGAGAGAACGACCAGCCACACUGGGACUGAGACACGGCCCAGACUCCUACGGGAGGCAGCAGUGGGGAAUUUUGGACAAUGGGCGAAAGCCUGAUCCAGCAAUGCCGCGUGCAGGAAGAAGGCCUUCGGUUGUAAACUGCUUUGUACGGAACGAACGGUCUGCUUUAAUACAGUGGCUAAUGACGGUACCGUAAGAAUAAGCACCGGCUAACUACGUGCCAGCAGCCGCGUAA
rnacentral:rRNA from 1 species